rnacentral:rRNA from 1 species
GAAUGCCGGUGUAAGUAACGAAAAGAUAGGUGAGAAUCCUAUCCGUCGAAAACCCAAGGAUUCCAGGGGAAGGUUCGUCCGCCCUGGGUAAGUCGGGGCCUAAGGUGAGGCUGAAAAGCGUAGCCGAUGGAUAUCAGGUAGAGAAUCCUGAACUAGUAAAUAGACUGAAGGAGUGACAGAGGAGGAUAACACUUGCCCCUUAGUGGAUUGGGGUCGAGAAUACGAGUCUGUGGUAUAGGCAAAUCCGUACCACGCGAAGGAUGAGUAUUGACAGGUAAAAGGUGAUGACUUCAAACUCUCUAGAAAAGCUUCUAAGAUUAAUUUAUUUACUACCCGUACCGUAAACCGACACAGGUGGGUGGGUAGAGAAUACUAAGACGCGCGAGAAAACUCUUGUUAAGGAACUCGGCAAAAUGACUCCGUAACUUCGGGAUAAGGAGGACUUUUAAUGAAAAAAGAAAGUCGCAGAGAAUAGACCCAAGCGACUGUUUAUCAAAAACACAGGUCUCUGCAAAACCGUAAGGUGAAGUAUAGGGGCUGACGCCUGCCCGGUGCUGGAAGAUUAAGAGGAGAUGUCAGGAAACGAAGCAUUGAAUUGAAGUCCCAGUAAACGGCGGCCGUAACUAUAACGGUCCUAAGGUAGCGAAAUUCCUAGUCGGGUAAAUUCCGACCCGCACGAAAGGCGUAACGAUUUGGGUGCUGUCUCAACAAGAGACUCGGUGAAAUCAAGAUGCCGGUGAAAACGCCGGCCACCCGCGACAGGACGAAAAGACCCCAUGGAGCUUUACUGUAACUUGAUAUUGAUAUUGGGUGCAGAAUGUACAGGAUAGGUGGGAGACUUGGAAGCUGGAACGCUAGUUUCGGUGGAGUCGACCUUUGGAUACCACCCUUUCUGUAUCUGAUAUCUAACCUCGGUAAGUGGAUUACCAGGGACAGUGUCUGGUGGGCAGUUUGGCUGGGGCGGCCGCCUCCUAAAAAGUAACGGAGGCGCCCGAAGGUUCCCUCAGAAUGGUCGGAAAUCAUUCAUAGAGUGCAAAGGCAGAAGGGAGCUUGACUGCGAGACAAACAAGUCGAGCAGGUACGAAAGUAGGGCUUAGUGAUCUUACGGUUCCGCAUGGAAGGGCCGUGACUCAACGGAUAAAAGCUACCCUGGGGAUAACAGGCUUAUCGCAUCCAAGCGUUCACAGCGACGAUGCGGUUUGGCACCUCGAUGUCGGCUCGUCACAUCCUGGAGGUGGAGAAGCUUCCAAGGGUUGGACUGUUCGUCCAUUAAAGUGGCACGCGAGCUGGGUUCAGAACGUCGUGAGACAGUUCGGUCUCUAUCCGUCGUGGGCGUUGGAAAUUUGAAGGGUGCUGCUCCUAGUAUGAGAAGACCGGAGUGGACAUACCACUGGUGCACCAGUUGGCCUGCCAGGGCCACAGCUGGGUAGCUAUGUAUGGAAGGGAUAAACGCUGAAAGCAUCUAAGCGUGAAGCCCCCCUUAAGAUGAGAUUUCCCAAUUUAGUAAGACCCCUUGAAGACGACAAGGUUGAUAGGCUGGGUGUGGAAGCAUGGUGACAUGUGGAGCUGACCAGUACUAAUAGGUCGAGGACUUAACCUU